rnacentral:lncRNA from 1 species
AUUCAACCUUCAGAGUUCUUCUCCUUUACUGAAUUGAAACAGUUGUUACCAAAGUCUAAUUUAUGUGUCAGACUCUGAACUCAGUCCUUAACCUCCUUUUGAUUAGCUAAAUAGUUGUAGUUAAUGGGCUUUCUCAUAGAUGAUGUUUAUUUUCCAGGUAACUGAUUAGCAGUGCUCCAGCUACACUUCCUGAAAUGAAGUGUUACAGUGCAACUCAUGCCAAGACUGUGGCAUGGUUAUGGAAAAGGUUUAUGCAGCCAGAAUAUUGGUGAAACUCCUUUUGGACUCAACAGGCUACCUAGUGGCUUAACCUACUACUGAAGGUCAGGAGAAUACCAUUCAUCUUCCAAAAUGCCUGGACAUCACCAGCUGCACUUCUGGAGAUAUCCUGGAAAAUGAAACUGUGAGAACAUUCCAAGCAGUUCGGUGGGAUUAUUGUCUUUGACAAGAUUCUCUUGACAAUACACAAACCUUUGUGCACGUAUCACUGUAAUGCCCAAUAAAAAUCAAAAGUCCCCCUUGGGACUGUUUGCUUGCUGUCCAAAGUAUUUCAGAUGGGCUGGCAA